GAGACCGCUUAAAUAAAGGGCUUGGUUAGAGCAGCGGACUCAUAACCCGCGGGUUCCGGGUUCAAGUCCCGGAGGUCCCA
rnacentral:tRNA from 1 species